UUUCAAAUAAGGUGUCUGGCUGUAUCAAGCACGUGCACUCAGCUUCAUUUCCUAUGCAGUUCGCGUUCGCAGCGCAGGAUUCGACAGUGCGUCCAGAUCAUGUGACAAUAAUAAAUUAGUUGUGAUUCAAAGCAGGAACGGAAUAAAAUUAUAUUACUUUACAGAAACGUGGAGCAUGUAAAUAAAGAAGAACCCAUUCUUGAACUGAGAAAGGAAUGAGUACAGGACUGUCUAGGAAGCACGUCUUGCCAGUUUCCGGCUCACUGGACGAGCAGCUGGUUCCAGAAGGGUUUCCGGGACCCCAUCACGAUCCAGAAUGGCACGAUCUCCAGUAGAGGGGUGUGUAGAGAAGUAGACGGUGAGAAGUUUCUUAUUGAGAGCGAGUCCGAGUCCUGCUUCCGAUGUGUUGUCAUUCAUGAAAGACACCGAAACGUGCUUCAGUACAAAGAAACAUACUGCUCUUCAACUAACAAUCUAGAGGUAAAAGUGUCGGGAGAUAAGUGGAGAUGCCCCUCUUUAUUCCAUGUUUAGGCUGGACACAACCCCCAUACCUUGCCCUUUUAAGGAUUCUUUUACCUUCAGCUACAGCCGGGGUCACGGUGAAUGUCGUAAUCCAGUUUCUACAGUCGACUCUUGCACUGACGAAUCACAUCUCUUCUUUAAAUUCCAGGCAUGCGCAGAUGUGCGCAACUCAGAAAGCAGAGAAGAGAAAUUGACGUGUUUUGGGUUAUGGAAAGAAGGCUCCACGCGAUAUCUGAUCGCCAAGAUGGAACACAAAGAUACAAUCACGGACGAAGACAAGUUUCGCUGUUUUGUAAGUCCCUAUAUUAUGUUCCAUUAGAUCUGUGU